CUACCGAUGAAGAGUCCCAAACUAGGACGAAACAACUGUCCAGUAC
rfam:Trichobilharzia regenti genome assembly, scaffold: TRE_scaffold0013072